ensembl:lncRNA
UCCACCACCUCCCUAGGCAGCCCAUUCCAGAGCCUGACCACUCUCUCAGAGAAUUAGUAUUUCCUAAUGUCCAGCCUGAACCCUCCCUGGUGCAGCUUGAAGCCAUUCCCUCUAGUCCUAUCACUAGUCACAUGAGAGAAGAGGCCGACCCCCAGCUCACUACAACCUCCCUUCAGGUAGUUAUAGAGAGCAAUAAGGUCUCCCCUUAGCGUCCUCUUCUCUAGACUAAACAAUCCCAGCUCCUUCAGCCUCUCUUCAUAAGGGCUGUGCUCUAGACCCCUCACCAUCUUUGUUGCCCUCCUCUGGACACACUCCAGGGCCUCGAUGUCUUUCUUACAAUGAGGGGCCCUAAACUGGACACAGUACUCGAGGUAUAGCCUCAUCAGUGCUGAUUAGAGGGACAAUCACUUCUCUGCUCCUACUGGCUAUGCUACUUUAGAUGCAAGCCAGGAUGCCGUAGUCCUUCUUGGCCACCUGGGUAUACUGCUUGCUCAUAUUCAGACAUCUGAUAACUAACACUUCCAGAACUUUU